rnacentral:miRNA from 1 species
AGGGAGUGCAGGGCAGGGUUUCC